rnacentral:rRNA from 1 species
GACGUAGGGCGCGAGCGUUGUCCGGAUUUAUUGGGCGUAAAGAGCUCGUAGGCGGCUUGUUGCGUCGCUGUGAAAACCCGCGGCCUUUAACCGUGGGCUUGCAGCCGAUACGGGCAGGCUAGAGUUCGGUAGGGGAGACUGGAAUUCCGUGGUGUAGCGGUGAAAUGCGCAGAUAUCAGAGGAACACCAGCGGCGAAGGCGGCGCUCUGGGCCGGUACUGACGCUGAGGAGCGAAAGCGUGGGGAUCAAACAGG